rnacentral:rRNA from 1 species
UACGUAGGGUCCGAGCGUUGUCCGGAAUUAUUGGGCGUAAAGGGCUCGUAGGCGGUUCGUCACGUCGGGAGUGAAAACUCGGAGCUUAACUCCGAGCCUGCUUCCGAUACGGGCAGACUAGAGGUAGGCAGGGGAGAGCGGAACUCCUGGUGUAGCGGUGGAAUGCGCAGAUAUCAGGAAGAACACCGGUGGAGAAGGCGGCUCUCUGGGCCUUACCUGACGCUGAGGAGCGAAAGCGUGGGUAGCGAACAGG